rnacentral:rRNA from 1 species
CCUACGGGAGGCAGCAGUAGGGAAUAUUGCUCAAUGGGGGAAACCCUGAAGCAGCCACGCCGCGUGGAGGAUGACGGUUUUAGGAUUGUUAACUCCUUUUGUUAGAGAAGAUUAUGACGGUAUCUAACGAAUAAGCACCGGCUAACUCCGAGCCAGCAGCCGCGGUAAUACGGAGGGUGCAAGCGUUACUCGGAAUCACUGGGCGUAAAGCGUGCGUAGGCGGGGUAAUAAGUCAGAUGUGAAAUCCUGUAGCUUAACGACAGAACUGCAGUUGAAACUGGUACUCUGGAGUGUGGGAGAGGUAGGUGGAAGUCUUGGUGUAGGGGUGAAAUGCGUAGAGAUCAAGAAGAACACUGAUUGCGAAGGCGGCCUGCUGGAACAUUACUGACGCUGAUGCACGAAAGCGUGGGGAGCAAACAGGAUUAGAUACCCCAGUAGUC